rnacentral:rRNA from 1 species
AUUGAACGCUGGCGGCGUGCCUAACACAUGCAAGUCGAGCGGUAACAGGUGUAGCAAUACAUGCUGACGAGCGGCGGACGGGUGAGUAACGCUUGGGAAUCUGCCUGUUAGUGGGGGACAACCCGGGGAAACUCGGGCUAAUACCGCAUACGCACUACGGUGGAAAGCCGGGGACCGCAAGGCCUGGCGCUAACAGAUGAGCCCAAGUCGGAUUAGCUAGUUGGUAGGGUAACGGCCUACCAAGGCGACGAUCCGUAACUGGUCUGAGAGGACGACCAGUCACACCGGAACUGAGACACGGUCCGGACUCCUACGGGAGGCAGCAGUGGGGAAUAUUGGACAAUGGGCGAAAGACCUGAUCCAGCGACGCCGCGUGGGUGAAGAA